UUGCGGCCGUAUCACGAAGAAACAUCGAUUCUCGUACGACCACCGAAGUUAAACAACGUCAAGCCUGGCCAGUACCUAGAUAGGUGACCGCUUGGGAAUACCAUG